UACAAGAAAAAACAAGUCUUUGUAAGUUUAAGUUAAGAAACUGGGCUCCAGCAACCUAGAUUCACUGAAACGGUGAAGAGUUAUCAUGGCUGCCUUUAAAGCAAAAGCUGUAACACAAUUGUUGCCUGCACUUCAGAAAGCAUGAAGAACUUAACACUGCAUGUAUUUCCUUCUUAGGCUUCCAGAGUCUCAUUUUCCUACCUUUUUAUUCUUUAAGCAACUCAACAGUGGAACCUACUCAGUGGCUUGCAUCAUAUCAUUCCCAUUGUUCUGAAUUUAAGACAUCGCCAAAAACCUCUAUACAAUCCGUGCUAGGCCGUAUAGGAAAGCUGUUGCGUCAAGCCUGACUUCCUCCCUAGAUGUGCUCAUUGCUUGCUUCUCUUCAGGGGAUGUUAUAAACAUAGAAUAAAAGGUUACCAACAGCACGGUGGGACCCUGUCAAACAUGUUACCAACAACGUCAACAACCUGCAUGUAUGAUCACUAUUGGACAGUACUCCAACAUCGCGACAGUUUAUGUAUUGAAAGCAUCAAUGAUAUCUUAUUUUGUCAUGGAUAUACAGACAACUUGUGUCAGAACAACCUCUGCCCUUCAGGCCUAAAAAGCAAUAGCACGUCCACAGGAAAAAAAUGCACUGUACAUACAGAAAAAAUGUACCGCAUGUGUCUUUAAACACGGACCACUGCUUUAUAUCAUCAUGAUGGAAACUCAGAAAAAUUGGUAACCAAUUAAACUAAGCUAUUAUGCUAAUGAUUGCCAAUAGAUCAGCAGGCAACCUUACAUUAUCUCUUAUUUAUACCAAGCAUUUUGUUGCAUCCUGUACUGCAGUUAUGGGAAAACUGUUCAUUUAGUAUCAAAGGGGUGUUAAGUCCUGUUGACAGCUAGCCUUCUGCUUUAACACUAAUAGUCUGUUAAUUGUACUGGCUCACCUACAAUCAGUUAUCAAAAUAGUGUGCAAGAAUUGGCACAGAGCGGCACACAAGAGCCAUUUGUAAAACAGAAUUGUAGUUUAUGAGCAGAGACAAAGUGAAAAGUCAAUCAGAAGUGAAGUGUAAAACAAAUGGCAUCCUACUUCAAGAGUAAUCUCCUAGAAGAGGGCAUUUAGAUAUGUUCUGCUGCUUGUGUACUUAUGUACAUGUAACUUCAUCAGCAUUCUGGUUUAGAGUUGUCCAGACUGGAAAGCAUCUUGGAUGCCUAUGUCUGUAUCACUUCUGUCAAUCAGUAUCCUGUAACAGCAACUGAAGUUUGAGUAAUUGCUUAUGCAACAAACAAACAAAAAAAUGCAUAAUUCCUUUUCUAUACGCAGAGCUGAGCUGCAGUUUGAGUAAUUUAAAACUUUCAAUGAAAAAAAAAGUAUUUACAAUACUUUUGCAUCUGGUGUUAGGGAGUUAGUUUUGAUAGCAAUCUAUGUAACUCAUAAGGUUGUUGGGUUUAUAUGACUUCAGUUUUCAUAGGUUGGUGGUUCCCCAAGAACACGUUUAGUCCCUGCUGACUUUAUUGCUUUGAAAGAGGAGUAUAGAUUUUUCAGCCAGGUGAUACUUGCGAUUGGACCUUGAGGUUUUCCAGAUUCAUUUGAGAGCUCAAUAUAGAGACACUUCCAAAGCAUACAGGGUUUUCAUUCAGGACACCAGUAAAUGUUCUUAAGCUAAAGUGGAUCUAGACUGCAUGAGUUCCCAAAGAGAUCCCCAAAAAUGGUUUCAUUUGGAGAGAAAAAAUUUGCUCAGAAAAAGGGCUUUCCAAAUUACUAAAGGGACUUCUUGAGACUCAUGACAUGGUUCCCCAUCACCAACUGCUGCUGCAAGGUGAUGUCUGGUAUGAAAGAUACAUUUUGCAAUCUAAUUUAUUUAUUUAUAGGUAUAUACAUAAAAACGAUUUCUCCUUUCCCUCGGUUUUAUCAAGGCUUCAUCUCCAGAUGGGUCUUUUUAGCAUAUUCUUCACUUUCUGAAGAUAUUUCAUUAUUGCUGUGAUCUCUAUACAUAAUACGUAAUUUUUUCAGAUCAGUAAGUGAAUGGUUUUGUCUAGGGAGGUCAGCUUCUUUCUGGGUGAGGAGUUAUCAUUCCUUAGUAUCAGCUGGCCAACUUUGUCAUCCUACUUGAUUAUCCUAUUAGCUAGACAGUAGCAACAGAUGUUAUCCCUGACAUUGCUUAGUCUUAAUGAGUUUUGCAAGGGUGCACAGCCAUGAACUGCCACCUUUGCCUUCUUCCAGGAGCUGCUGCAAUGGGAAAGAACUGACAAAUGUGGAACAAAGUUUCCUACUGUUUCCUUUGCUCAUAAUCAGAAAUUCAAAUUCCUUGCCAUGCCUGGGAAACCACUUCUGCUUUCAGCAGCAAAAAAGCAGCAGCUGCAGCAAUGCUCUGUGGAUACAGGACAGUAAAUAUAUGAGGUUUAUUUUUUUCUGUCCUCUCCAAUUUUUCAAUUAGAAGACAAGUCCUCUUUCAUUUUCCUUCAUCCUGCUUGGUGUAUCCCUUUCUCCCCAUUGUACCACACUAAGCUAAUUGAGCAAAAUGCAAUUGUUGCAAACAUUUUGCUCUUCAUGUGCGUUUUCUGCAGGGAAGGAAUUAGAAGGUCCAAAGUCCAGCUAUAAAUUUGUCUGGCCUCCAUGGUAAAGGACAACAAGACAAACUUCUAUAAGUAUAUUAACAACAAAAGAAAGACCAGGGAGACCCUCCAUCCUCAACUAGAUGCAGGAGGAAACAAGGAUGAGGAAAAGGCUGAGGUGCUCAAUGACUUCUUUGCCUCAGUCUUUAGUAACAGGACCAGUUAUGUUGAGGGUAUCCCACUCCCUAAGCUAGGCCACAGGGAAAAGAAGCAGAAUGAUCCCCCCACAGUCCAGGAGGAGCUGGUCAGUGACCUGCUACACCAUGUAGAUGUGCACAAAUCUAUGGGGCUGGAUGGGAUGCACCCAAGAGUGCCGGAAGAGCUGGCAGGGGUGCUCACCAAACCACUUUCCAUCAUUUAUCAGCAGUCCAGCUGACUAGGGAGCUACCAGCAGAUUAGAAAUCAGCCAAUGUAACCCCCAGAUAUAAGAAGGGAUGGAAGGAUGAUCCGCAGAACUACAGGGAAGCUGAUGCAACAGAUCAUCCUGAGUACCAUUAUGCGGUACAUGCAGGACAACCAGGUGAUGAGGCCCAGUCAGCAAAGGUUCGUGAAGGGCAGGUCCUGUUUGACUAACCUCAUCUCUUUCUAUGACAGGGUAACCUGCUUAUUGGAUGAGGGAAGGCCUGUGAAUGUUGUCUACCUUGACUUCAGCAAGGCCUUUGACAAGAUUUCCUACAGUAUUCUCCUAGAGAAGCUGGCUGCUCAUGGCUUGGAUGGGCAUACACUUUGCUGAAUAAAAAACUGGACAGCAUGAGGUUCAAUAAGGCCAAAUAUUAGAUCCUGCACUUUGGCCACAACAACCCCCAGCAGCGCUACAGGCUUGGGGAGCAGAGAGGGACCUGGGGGAGCUGAUUGACAGCCGGCUGAACAUGAGCUGUUCCGCUUGGAGAAGAGGAGGCUGAGGGGAGACCUCAUUGUUCUCUACAGCUACCUGAAAGGAAGUUGUGGUGAGGUAAAAGGCUACAUCCCAUCAUUCCAGUGAUCAUUGUUUUUAGUGCAUAGCCUUGGAGUUUUACCAGUUGUCUCUCAUACUGGUUUUGUGAACAAGGCCAGUCAGAAUACCAGGAACAGACAAAAAAAAACUACUCCCACAAGUGUUACCAGUGGAGGAACCUGAAGACCAGCAGUGGAGAUGCAGAACUGCUUCAGAAGGCUGUCAGCAGGCUUUCUGUUGCACACAGUCUCAAUCAAUUGAAAUGUCUUCUGGAAUAAAGAUUCCACUUACUGCUGAGCAGAAGAGUGAAGUUCUCUUUUCACAGAUCCCUUGAAAAUAAAUAACAAUUUUUUGCCAGAAGAGAUAUUAAGAUUUUUGAAACUCCGUUAAACAUGAAAUGGACACUUACUAUUCUCAUUUUCAUGCAUUUAUCAUUAUAAUAUUUAGUGGUUUUAUUUGUAUUAUCACAUGACAUCAUUCAUUUUCAGUGUCCGACACUUUUUUCCCUUAUCUUCUGGUAUUUUGUUCAUCUUUGGUUGUAGGCAGCACAGUCAGAAAGAGAAAAAAGGUACAGAUUUGCAAACACAAGAAAGAUUUCCUUCAAAAUUGGUUUUCUUUAGAAUCAUUUCAGGAGACAGAAUUUAAGUUAUUGCCCAAAAGAAACAAGCAAUCCCAGGAGCUGUUCUGAUAUGGUUUGCCGAGGUCUCCCAAGCAUAUCUGUGGGACUGGAGAGAGAGAAGGUGCUAGGGCACCCAGGACCAAGGUCUAAUAUUGGUUACACUAUGAAGAUUCUGUGGCAAUUCAGCUGCCAAUGAGAGCAGUGCUUGUGCAAUACACAACCACUGUUUUUCUGCCAGACAGCUUUUGUAACUUUUUAUUUCACAGCUUCACAACUUACCUGUGUUUUUUUUAUAUCAGAAUAUGUUGAUGUCUGUGAAAUUCCGAGAAUACCCAUUACUAAUGAGGUUCUUGUUUGAAAUGAUGUACUGGACUCCCUAAAUAAUUUUUAAAAUCUGUUUUGUUUUGUUUCCAUUUUAAAGACCAGUCUAUUAAAACAGAGCUUUCUGAAUAAUUCAAGGUGUUUUAGGAAUUCAGUAUGCAGAAUUAAAUUGAAAGUCAAAGAUUUACAACACUACCUUGUUCUUAAUAUGUUUGUUUGUAAUUUCUGUAGAACAAGUCCAUCUACAAGGGUAAAGCAAUUUCUCUGAAAUUCUAAAUGGUAAAAUCAGUUAGCCUAUGUGAUUUAUUUUGAUUGGAAAUAUCUCCUUACUGGAUAUAUAUGAGAUAUUGAAAUUUAAGUGAUAAUAUGUGAUUUAACACUAAUGUUUCAAAUAAUUGUUACAUAUCUACAAGCUCUAUAAUAGGUAGCAGGUUCUGUAAUCACAAAUACGGCACUAUGUAUAAUAAUCUAAUAUAUUUUUAAAUGCAAUGCCUUUUAGAUUGUGCUUUUCCUUCUUUUAAAAGGACACUAGGAAUUUUGAAGAGUACAGGGACAGGAUAACUUUUUAUUUGAUGAGUCAGGUUUAUAAUAAAAUGGCUCCAAAGACCAAAUAAAAAGUAUCUGAUUUGGCAGAAGGCAGGAUAUUAAUGUAUUGAUAUCAUCUGGAUAAUAAUACAGUAUGUUUCUGAAGUUUUCAGAAACUUUGAGAACUAAAAUAUUUUUCAGGUAUCAAAAAGUUAUGAAGUACGUUUUAUAGUUUAAAUGCUGUGCUUAAAAAUAAGUGAUAUAUGCCCACACACACUUGUGACUACAUUGCCCUGAUGGUGCUGCAGAGUGGAUCUCUAAAGGUAGACUCUCUCCCUGAGAAAAUUUCCUCUACAAGGAGUAAGUGGGUCUCUAGGACUCCCAUGGCUGCUUCAUACCUCAUGAUGCAGAAGAGAAUGGUGCAAAAAACCCAAAGACCAACUGGAAUGUAUAAACAUCUCAGGUGUUCUUAGAUACCAGAACAGCCCUUGAGGCAGCAGGCAGCUCAUGGUGGUGGCUACACCAACACAACAAAUAAGAAGGCAUAAAGUUCCUCUACAUCACCUUUGCCCUCUUCUUACACCCUCAGGCUAAGCACAAGUCCAAAUUCAUUGGUGCCACAUGUUUGCAUUGUGGCUGAGCUCUUUAAUACUUUGCACAUUCCAAAACCAUCCCUCUUUUCACUGUUGGCAAGUGUUAAUUCAAUAAACAAAACACAAUAAUACUACUGAAAAAUCUGGAGCAGGAAGGAAGCCGGCUUACUUCUGCUUGGUUUCCCUUGCUGCCAGUGCAAUAAGCUGCCAUUUUCAACAAGGUAGCAACAGAUGGCUUAGAAUUUAACUCUUUAAAAAAAUUAUUUUAUUUUAUUUUAUUUCAUUUCAUUUCAUUUCAUUUCAUUUCAAAGUAUAGUUAAGAAUUAAUAAAUCAAUCCUAAAAGCAUGAGCCCUUGUGGUGGGAGGAGAAGAGGGCAGGAAAGUUGCAUUGCUGGUGCAAUCCUGGUGGGAAGAUACUCCUUUGAAAGUAUUAUCCAUCUAGGGUGAGAACUUUGGGGGUGGAGUAAAACACCCCUCCUAAACAACCUGGUUACAAAAUUUCCUUCAGUGUCUGUAAGGACAGGAAUCUGGCUUUUUAAUUUACAAGGAAACCUGAUGGUUAUUUUUAAAACUGCUAACAACACCUUAUACCUACUUUUUUCAUGCUUCCCAGCUCCCUUGCCCUACUUGGCACUUAAGCUUGUGUAUAGGAAGGACUUUUAUAAUUUUCCUCAUGUAUCUUGUUCACCUUUGUGUGGCUGUGCUUUCUCUUUUUUUUUUUUUUUUUUUUUUCCUGUAUGCAAUUUUUCCUUUCUACUGUUCAGCUGGUUUGCUGAACAACUAAAUGUUUUAAAAAAUAUUUAUCUUAGCUUGAAUUUUGUUGUUCAUAACCUAACUGCACUGGUUACUCCAUAUACUCUGCUAAAUCUCUGAUUACUGUCUAAAUUUUCAUCAAAAAUAGUUCAAGAUAAUAGAUGAAGUGCCUCUUAAUUAUUUUUAGAUGGCAGACUUUAUGUGUAUUAUCUAGGUGUGGGUAUGACAGUGAGGAAAAUGACACUCAUUGUGCUUGAACCUUGCAGAGCACUAAAUAAAUACAGCUCGUAUGGUGUUUCAUUUCAACACAGGCCUAACCUGAGGAUGCAAAUUCUGUAAGGGGGUAAUUUUUGCAAACAGUAUUUUAACAUCUAGUCAUGCAAAUACCUUAUUGUUCACAGGACAUUUUAUGUUUUGAAAGACACAAGCUAAAUUCUCUUUCUUUGUACUGAAAGGACUUGUUCCUUUAUUCAGCAGAUUUUUAUACGAUAUAGAAGAGCAGUGUCUGCACAGUAUUUGAAAGCUAGGCCUUUGUUUUACCAAAUAUUGUGUGCCUCUGGGACAGGAAGAAAGCCUGUGCAACAGGUUUGUGCACCCUUGCUGGCAUGUUCAGACAAAUUAACUUGUCAUGACGAGUUUUGCUUGGUCUUACAGAGGGGAGGCAGAGAGGUGUGGAGUACCAUAAUGCUGCUUCACUUUUUCUCAGUGGAUGUCUUUUAUUCAUAGCUCUUUGAAUUGAUUUUUCUUUACACACGUGACUCUUCCCUUCCAAUCUCUAUGCUUGCGUAGACAUCAUGUAAUGUAAGCCUAUAUCGUUCUCCUUGGAGUAGGUACAGCCAAAACAGACAGCUGUUUAGAUCUCCCUGGCAAAGAAUCCCAUCGGUCUCACCCACACUGGAUGCACAUACAUGGUCUCCUGGCUGUCAGACCCAUCUGUUAGGAUGGCGUGGUGCCCAUCCUCAGCCUUGUGAGAUAGAUUUGCUGCAACACAGAUACAAAGCAACUACAGGUUUUAGGGCAGGCAUUCUAUACAGCAUUGCAAAUAGUGUCUACUAUAUGGGCAAUAACUUCUUUGGGCUGUUAGCAGCACCAUUUGUUCAUUUAGUGCAUAUCUGUUAUGUAGAUACACGUCAUGGGAUAUGUAGAUACAAAAGACACGAGUCAAAAUAUUUGCACCUGGAAGCAUGAAAUUAGACUCCCAAGCGUGUAUGUCUGUGUGAAUAUAUAUAUAUACUCACAUAAAUGUGUAUGCAUCCUGUUUUUCAAAGAUCAGAAUACACUGCAGUCCCCUGUAUAGAAACUGACAUAUACUCAAACCUUGUGAAAAUCAAACCACUUGAAAAUACGGAUGUGAGAGACAUCCAGCAUGGUGCUCUUUAGCAAGAAGUUCUCCUUUAGCCUCCUGUUUCUCUGUAUGUUGCUUACUUCUGACACCGCUCUGGAUAAGAAAAUGCCAUCUGGAAGUGAAACUUGAAAGAAACAGACCUAGUAUCCUAAGCAGAGGCAGGCAAUGCAACCUCGUGUGUGGGGAGCACUGCGUUUACUUGCUGCUCUUCAGUGGCUUUGCCUCUAGAGCAUCCCUUCAGGAGCACGCAGGCACAGCCACAUUAUCUUUUUCAAAUAAUGGACUGUGGGGCUCCUGCAAACUUUCUCUUCAGAGUUUUGUGUAGAGCCGUGCUCUGUGCACUCUCGAUGUGAGGUCUUCUGACUUCUUGCUUUGUGUGAGGGUGGGUUAGUGCUCGCUGGAGACGUGGGCUCAGUGAUGGCAGCGUGCUGGCAGCAGAGCAGCGGGAGGUCUUGCCUGCAUCCACAGGGCCGAACAAAGGUCCCUUUGUGGGAGUGCAGCAGCUUCAGAAUACAUGGUUUGUCACCAACAAUUAUCUGGGUGUCAUAACUGAAGAUCUGCCACAACACCUACAACCCAGAACAGUGUGCCUCUGUCAUGUAGGGUUGUGUUUUUUUUUUUUUUUACUUACUAUUCAUUAUUACACUAACUUCCCUCAGUAACAAUCUAAGUAGGAGGAUAUAUACACUCCCACAUAAAAUGGACACACAAAGUUCCCCAAGCAUCAUUAAGUGUUGGAAGGAUGUAAAAAUAGCAAUAGAAUAAAUGAAAACCAAUCCUGUAUAUCUUUCUCUGUAUUUAUGGUUAGAUCUCAUAAAAUUGUGUGAAUUCCCUAUUGUUUUAAAGAGUUCUUUUUAAAAGACAUAGAGGUCCAUUUAUAGCCUCACAGUUCAUUACAGUUGACUUCUGAAUAGAGGAGAACUAUGGUCAGCCACUGGUACUAUUUAAAUUUUUUUCUCUGUUUCAACAUUCAUUUAAAAGAGGAGGUUUAUUCAUUUAUUCAGUUGAAUUCACCAGGGAUAGCUGCAGAGGGAAAGGGACUGAAAGCUCCAAUUCACUUUAAUUUGCCUAUUUGCUUACACUCUGUGUUGGAAUGCAGUAGCAAACAGCCAGAAGUUUUUUUAUUCAUGAACAUUCUCUUUGAACUGAGUACGUUUGAAAGUACAUGUUUAGUUCUCUAACCAUAACUCUAAGUUCUGGUUCCAGUAAAAGACAGGCAAUGAACUCUCUCAUCAAAGUACUGCAGAAUUAAUUUCCUUGUGGGCUUCAGGGUGGCAGAAAGUGGAAAUACAAAUUCUUGUGAUUCACACCAUAGAGGCAUUGACUCCUCUUUGUCAUAGCUACUGAAGCUCUGCUCAGAGCUUGUUGGACUGAACUAUGUUGAUCGGCCCAACCCAAAUGCUAAAUCUCAGUGAAUUCAGUCAGGGCUGGUGCUUAAAUAUGCUGCAUGAGAGGGCUAGCAAUCCAAAUAAAAAAACACAGAAAUAUAACAAAACAGGGAAGAACAAAUAUUCAGUAUAAAACUUCAGAAGUUACCGUACCUAAUUACAUUGGUUCUGCCUAUAGCCAAAGGAAUGACAGAAAUACUUUGAAUGGCAUUGAUCUGGCAGGGCAAAACUUUGUCCAAAAAUUCAAUACAGAGCCAAACCCCAGGUAAGUUCCUGAUUCCUGUUCAUGCCUCUGGGAUACCACCUAUACUCUCCACUCAAAGAUCCCCAAGUGGUCUAGAAGACACAUGGGAUUUUCCCCCCAUUUGCAAGGCUCAAGGUGCUGCAGCUGCUGUAUGAAACUUCUCAACUCCAGCCUGGCUCUAAGCCAUGGCUUUGCUGCCUGGCAGUCUGCUUGCUACAGCUCUGGGGCAAAAUUUCUCAUUUUCAGCUGCGUCACUGCCUGCACAUCCUCAUCCUGACCCCACUGACCAUGCAGGGCCCUUCAGAGUACCUGUACCUGGCAUGGAUUAGGAACUAGCCAAGACCCAACUUGGUGGGUGAUCGAGUGGGUCCUUCUGGCCUCAGAAACAACAGAUUGCAAAUUGGCCCAGCUCUACAUUUUUUUGUCUGUAGAUGAGCCAUCAGAAAUCAUGGUUCUCCCCUCCCCUUUUUUUUCUAAGUAUAUGAUCUGCAAAGCAAUGAUACCUUAAUAAAGAAAGUUAACUGUGUGGCUUUUUUUAAAAAGUAUGUGCUGCCUGAGAGAUCUGAAGUACUAUCUAUGUAUCUGUGCAUUUAUGUAACCAUCUGUGUGUGUGUGUGUGUCUGUCUAUGUAUCUAUGUAUGUAUGUAUGUAUCUAUCUAUCUAUCUGUCCGUCCGUCCAUCCAUCCAUCCAUCCAUCCAUCCAUCCAUCCAUCCACCCAUUUAGCUGUCUCACAGUUCUAGUUCUGUUUUGUUCCAUUUUUUGCCAGCAGAGUGAUAUUUACUAUAUGACAUGUAAGUAGUGGUCACAAUAUUUGAUACAUAAUUCCCCGAAUGAUAGGUAAGAUAUCAUAUUAAACCAGUAAUUAUGAACGGAAGUAUAGUUACAAAAUGAGAUGACUGUUUAAAUAAAUAACUACUGCUGUAGUUACAUUUUAAUUGUAUUUCCAUGUUUUCCUUUAGCCUAGAAAGCCUUUCUGAAAUA